rnacentral:lncRNA from 1 species
CAGGGAUCUGGAUCCAUCCUGGGACCAUCCAGAGCCCUUCCCAUGGAUCCGGAUCCAUCCCAGGAUCAUCCCAAGACACCGGGAUUGGAUCAGGGAUUGGGAACAGCAGAGGGAAAUCCAGGAUCCAUCCCAGUGGAAAAUCCGGGAUCCAUCCCAGUAGAACUGGCAGGGAAUUGGCCCCGCCCCACCGCUAAUCCUGGGAGUAAAUAACUGGGAAUAAACCACUGGGAAUAAAUAAAUAAUCUUUAAAAAAAUCCCUUUCAUUUGCCCCAAAUUCCCUUCAUUUGUCCCAAAAUUCACCUUUGACUGGCUCCGAAAUCCCGUUUAUUUUUCCCCAAAACUUCCUUUCAUUGGGCCCCAAAAAUCCAUUUAUUUACCCCAAAAAAUUCCCUUUAUUUGCCAAAAAAAACUCCUUUCUCUUCCUCAAAUUCCCCUUCAUUUGGCCACAAAAUUCCCUUCAUUUUUUCCCCAAAAGUCUUUUAUUUACCCAAAAAAAUUCCUUCAAUUUGUCCCAAAAUCCUCUUUAUUUGUCCCAAAAUUCCCUUUAUUUUUGUUACCGAUGGGAACUUCCCUUCCCAUUCCCGACUUUUUGGGAGUUUAAAAUCCAAUCCUUAGAGAAAAACUGGGAAUAUUCGAGCGGGAAUGGCCGGGGCAGCGGGGAGGGAAGGGAAGGGCUCAUCCCAAUGGGAAAACCUCUGGAAUAUCGGGAUUUGGGGGUGGGAAUGGGGAUCUGGGGGUGGAUCCAGGGAAUUUUUGGGAAGUGGGAAAAGGAAAAUCAGGAAUGUCCUGACCUGGGCAGGCUCUUCCUGCCGGGAAAACCUCGGGAUCCAGGGAUUUUGGGGUGGGAAUGGGGAUUUCCAGGGGGAUCCAUGGAUUCGGGGCUGGAUCUUUGGGAAGCAGGGGCAGCAGGAAAAGCAGGAAUGGCUGGGACAGCAGGGAGCACCAGGCAGGUUCUUCCCGCUGGGAAAACCUCUGGAUGUGGGAAUUUGGGGGUGGAAAUGGGGAUUUGGGGCUGGAUCCGGAGAUCUGGGGCUGGAUCCAGGAAUUUGGAGCUGGAUCCAGGAAUUUGAGGUUGGAUCCAGGGAUCUGCGGGUGGAUCCUGGGAUUUGGGGCUGGACCCAGGGAUUUGGGGCAGGAUCCAGAGAUCUGGGGCUGGAUCCAGGAAUUUGGAGCUGGAUCCUGGGAUUUGGGGCUGAAUCCAGGAAUUUGGAUCUGGAUCCUGGGAUUUGGGGCUGGAUCCAGGGAUCUGAGGGUGGAUCCUGGGAUUUGGGGCUGGACCCAGGGAUUUGGGGCAGGAUCCGGAGAUCUGGGGCUGGAUCCAGGAAUUUGGGGCUGGAUCCAGGGAUCUGAGGGUGGAUCCUGGGAUUUGGGGGUGGAUCCUGGGAUUUGGGGGUGGAUCCAGGGAUCUGGGGCAGGAUCCAGGUGUCUGCAAGUGGAUCCCGGGAUCCGGGGUGGAUCCCGGGGCGCGGGCUGGGUUUUUGGGAAGCAGGAGCGGCAGGAAAAGGCGGCAGGGAAGGGCUGGGGCAGCCGGGGAAGCGCUGGAAUUGGGGAGCGGGCGGAUCCCGGGGUUCCGGGAAUGCUGACCUGGGCCGGCGGCGCGCCGGGAGCGCCGAUCCCGGCGGGGUCCCGGAGCCGCCGGGCGCGGCCCGCGAUUCCCAAACCCCGGCGGGAGCGGAGCCGCCGCCAGCGGAGCGGGGGAUGCCGGGACUCGGGAAUUGCGCCGCUCCUCCUCCCCUUCCUCCCGCUCCUCCUCCUCUUCCUGCCUUCCCGGCUUAUCCUGCUGCUCCUGCUUUUCCUGCUCCCGCUUCUCCCGCUUUUCCUUCUCCUUUUCCCUCCUUUUCCUCCACCUCCUCCUCCUCCUUUCCCUGCUUUUCCUUCUCCUUUUUUAAAUUCCUUUUUCUGCUUUUCCUCCUUUUCCUUCUCCUUUUUCCUGCUUUUCCUUCUCCCUUUUCCUCCUUUUCCUUCUCCCUUUUCCUCCUUUUCCUCCUUCUCCUCCUCCUCCUUUUUUCUGCUUUUCCUUCUCCUUUUUUACUCCUUUCCCUGCUUUUCCUCCUCCUCCUUUCCCUGCUUUUCCUUCUUCUUUUUUUUACUCCUUUUUCUGCUUUUACUCAUUUUCCUGCUUUUCCUUGUCCUUUUUCCUGCUUUUCCUUCUCCUUCUUUUACUCCUUUUCCUGCUCUUCCUUCUCAUUUUUCCUCCUUUUCCUCCUUCUCCUUUUCCUGCUCUUCCCUCUCCUUUUUUCCUGCUUCUCCUCCACUUCCUCCUCAUUUUCCUGCUUUUCCUUUUCCUGCUUCUCCCGUUUUUCCUGCUCCUGCUUCUCCUGCUUUUUCUUCUCCUUUUCCCUCCUUUUCCUCCUCCUCCUUUCCCUGCUUUUCCUUCUCCUUUUUUUACUCAUUUUCCUGCUUUUCCUCCUCCUCCUUUUCCUGCUUUUCCCUCUCGUUUUUCCUGCUUUUCCUCCACUUCCCCCUCCUUUCCCUGCUUUUCCUAUUUUUUCCGCUUUUCCUCCUUUUUCUGCUUUUUCUGCUCUUACUUCUCCUCUUUUUCCUCCUUUUCCUUUCCCUCCUUUUCCCGGAAUUCCCAGCCCCAGGAAUUCGGGAUUUCUCCCCUCUUCCUUCAUCCCCAGCCUGGAAUUCCCAGGCAAAGCAGAUUUUUCCUGGGAAAAUUCCUUUAAAAACUCCUAAAAUCCAGCCGGGAGGUGAAAACCCCCGGCAUUUAAAGCGUCCCAUGCAUGGAUUAAAAAAAAUAAAAAUCCCUUUCAUUGGACCCCAAAAUUCCCUUUAUUUUCCCAAAAUUCCCCUUUAAUUGGCCACAAAUUCCCCUUUACUUGGCUUCAAAAAAAUCCCUUUCAUUCGGCCCUAAAGUUCCAUUUAUUUGCCAAAAAAAACCCCUUUAUUUUCAAAAAAAACUCCCCUUUCUCUUCCCCAAAUAUCCCUUUAUUUUCCCCCAGAAAUCCUUUUCAUUUGGCCCCAAAAUUCCCUUUAUUUGGCAAAAAAACCCCUUUAUUUUCUCAAAAAUAUCCCUUUAAUUUGUCCAAAAUUCCCUUUAUUUGUCCUAAAAAAAAAAAAUCCCUUUUUUUAUUUUCCAGAAAAAUUCCCUUUAUCUUCCCCAAAUUUCCCUGUAUUUGCAUCCCUCCCAUCCCGGUUUUUGGGAGGGAAAACCUUUCCCAGAUUAUUUUUUGGGAAGAUCUGUGGGGCCCUGUGAAUUAAAGGGAAUUUUCCUGGGUACUUUGGGAAUUAAAAUAAAUUUUUAUGGGAAUUCA